GAAACGUGUAUCCAGCCAUGCCGCGUGAGUGAUGAAGGCCUUAGGGUUGUAAAGCUCUUUUACCCGGGAAGAUAAUGACGGUACCGGGAGAAUAAGCCCCGGCUAACUUCGUGCCAGCAGCCGCGGUAAUACGAAGGGGGCUAGCGUUGUUCGGAAUUACUGGGCGUAAAGCGCACGUAGGCGGAUCUUUAAGUCAGGGG
rnacentral:rRNA from 1 species